GACGAACGCUGGCGGCGUGCUUAACACAUGCAAGUCGAACGGAAAGGCCCUGCUUUUGUGGGGUGCUCGAGUGGCGAACGGGUGAGUAACACGUGAGUAACCUGCCCUUGACUUUGGGAUAACUUCAGGAAACUGGGGCUAAUACCGGAUAGGAGCUCCUGCUGCAUGGUGGGGGUUGGAAAGUUUCGGCGGUUGGGGAUGGACUCGCGGCUUAUCAGCUUGUUGGUGGGGUAGUGGCUUACCAAGGCUUUGACGGGUAGCCGGCCUGAGAGGGUGACCGGCCACAUUGCGACUGAGGUACGGCCCAGACUCCUACGGGAGGCAGCGGUGGGGAAUAUUGCGCAAUGGGCGGAAGCCUGAUGCAGCAACGCCGCGUGCGGGAUGACGGCCUUCGGGUUGUAAACCGCUUUCGCCUGUGACGAAGCGUGAGUGACGGUAAUGGGUAAAGAAGCACCGGCUAACUACGUG
rnacentral:rRNA from 1 species